rnacentral:lncRNA from 1 species
AUUUCCAGAAGACUUGUUUCAUCCAAACUUAAAUUUUUCAAUUUCAUAACUUAACUUCAUCGAUACCGUGUGUUCAAAAUUUUCAGUAAGUAGCUUGUGCCAUAGGCAUACAAAGCGAGGUAAGUUUUUUCUCCUAUAUGGUUCAAAAUUCACAUCUACAAAUGUUCAUAUGCUAUUAUUAAAAUAAGUUUCAAGCUUUUUCUUUAUAGAUGUUUGAACUUAUUGGACCAUGACUUGCAGAGGUUGUAUCUGCUAGCUCAAGCUAACAUAUUUCGCCAAAGUAGAUAACAUCAAUUUUCCGAGUUGGGAUUUCAAAUACUGCUUUUCAAAUCUCAAGAAUGUUAAAAUUAUCGGCUGCCUUUAUGACAUGGUUGGAGGCGUGGUCUGAAGCAGAGUUUUGUAAGCUUUUCGAACCUUUGAGGUUUAUAUUAAAGAAUACAGUGGUUUUGCAAAAGUUUGUUAUCAUAACAAUUAAACAAGUGUGAGUUCCGGCAUUCAUAACGAUUGACUAAGAAAUUGUUAGAUAGUCAAAAAUCAUCAACAAAUUUCGUGAUUGUUUAUCAAGAGAUUGCUUAGCCAACCAUUAUAAAUAAUCACGAAAUUUGUCCUAGUGUUUCUGGCCGCUGCAACAAAUACAUAUUUAUUAACAAAAUAUAAGGUGUAUCUAGCGAUUCAGAGUUGUUUUUUGUAGUAGUGUUCUUAUUAGGAUCAUUGUGUAUGAACUACAACUGAAUUAGAGUUGAGUUUUGAUAAGAAAAGUUGGAAGCUGUGGGCAUGCUAAUUGAAAAACCGCAAGUAUCGACUAUCGUGAAACAAGCACUUGAUAGUUGAUCCUGAUCUUGUGGGGUUGGUCUUAAAUAUCUCAGGGUACUUAGGCUAUAAU